rnacentral:rRNA from 1 species
CAGUAGCCGCGGUAACACGAAGGGUGCAAGCGUUAAUCGGAAUUACUGGGCGUGAAGCGUGCGUAGGCGGUUUGUUAAGUCUGUUGUGAAAUCCCCGGGCUCAACCUGGGAAUGGCAAUGGAUACUGGCAAGCUAGAGUGUGUCAGAGGAUGGUGGAAUUCCCGGUGUAGCGGUGAAAUGCGUAGAGAUCGGGAGGAACAUCAGUGGCGAAGGCGGCCAUCUGGGACAACACUGACGCUGAGGCACGAAAGCGUGGGGAGCAAACAGGAUUAGAUACCCCCGUAGUCCCUGUCUCUUAUAC